AUCCUGUAAAGAUGACUGCAAGAGCACAGCGCAGACUGCUCAAUGAGGUGAAGAAGAAUCCUAGAGUGUCAGCUAAAGACUUACAAAAGUCACUGGCAAAGGCUAACAUCCCUGUUAGCGAAUCUACAAUACGUAAAACACUAAACAAGAAUGGAUUUCAUGGGAGGAUACCACAUUGGAAGCCACUGCUGUCCAAACAAAACAUUGCUGCACGUUUACAGUUUGUACAAGAGCACCUGGAUGUUCCACAGCAGUACUGGCAAAAUAUUCUGUGGACAGAUGAAACCAAAGUUGAGUUGUUUGGAAGAAACACACAACACUAUGUGUGGCAAAAAAAGGCGCAGCACACCAACAUCAAAACUUCAUCCCAACUGUUAAGUAUGGUGGUGGGGGCAUCAUGAUUUGGGGCCGCUUUGCUGGGUCAGGGCCUGGACUGAUUGCUAUCAUCGAAGGAAAAAUGAAUACCCAAGUUUAUCAAGACAAUUUGCAGGAGAACUUAAGGCCAUCUGUCUACC